AUACUUAUCUGACGGGGAGGCGUUCUGAUCAUGAAGGUGGUUUUUGAGAGGGAGCCUCAUUACUAGUACUUCAAGCAGACUGACUCCUGCGACUUCCCAAGAUCCAUUGCAUUUUAAAAUUUGUGAUUGUGGGAGACUGCUUUUUUUCUUACUCCUG
rnacentral:snRNA from 1 species